GGUACUGCAACUUGGGCAUUUGACAUUAGUUUGGUGAAUUCUAUAGUAAACAUUCUAUCUCCAUGGAUGUGGGUAACAGAGGAGUCAUCAGAAGUUGGGAGGGUUGUAAAAUCAGGAUAAAUCUGGACUCUCUUCUUAGGAACUGAACCAGUGGGCUGACCUAUGGGACAACAGAGGGAAAGAGACAGACCUAACCUCUGGAGCCAGAUUCUCUUGGAUGUCCAGAUUUCAACACGUGGAGGAUUGAUGAAACUCAUCAUGACUAGGAACUUUUUCGUGAAGAUACAGACUUGUUCUGUUGCCCAAGCUGAAGUGCAGUGUCUAUUAAUUUUAUAGCAAAAAGAAUGAUCAGCCCAAUUUAUGUAGUCAUGUUAUCUCCAUCAAGGAUUUAGGUCUAUGUUCACCAGGAAUAUUCAUCUGAUAUUUUGUUUUGUCAUUAUGUCUCUUCCUGAUUUUGUGUGCCAGGAACACACAGUAGAAAAAGGACAGGCUUUUCAAUAAUGGUGUAAAAACUGGGCAUCCAUAUGCAAAAGAAAUAAAAUUAGGCCUUCUCUAACUCCAUAUAAAAAGUGAACUAAUAAGGAACAUAAUACCUGAAAGUAUAAACUCAUAAAUGACAUGGAGGAAAAAAACCUUCCUGCCAUUGAUUCGGAAGUGACUUCUUUGAAUUUAAUACCAAAGCACAGGAACAACUAUGUGCAAUUAUGUGUCUGACAAGAAGUUCUAUCCAAAUGUAUAAAUACCCAUACAACUCAGUAGCCAAUAACAAAUGACCUGAUUUAACAAAAAGGGCGAAAACCUGGAGAGAUUGUUUUUCAGAAGACUCACACAUGGCUAACAGAAAAUGAAAAGGUUCUUAACAUUUCUAAUUAUCAAGGGGAUUCAAAUCAAAGUCCCAAUGAGAUAUCACCACAUACAAGUUAAUAUGGCUAUUAUCAGAAAUAUAAAAGGUGACAAAUGUUGGCAAGAAUGUGGGGAAAAGGGUAUAUGUUGUGGUAGGAUUGGUUACUGAAUAAGUUGAAAAUAAAGCUAUCAUAAAAUCUGGUGAUCCCAUUUCUUGUUAUAUAUUCCAAGGAAAUAAAACUAUUUUGCCAAAGACAUGUUCAUUGC
rnacentral:lncRNA from 1 species